UGGGGAAUAUUGGGCAAUGGGCGCAAGCCUGACCCAGCAACGCCGCGUGAAGGAAGAAGGCUUUCGGGUUGUAAACUUCUUUUCUGAGGGACGAAGAAAGUGACGGUACCUCAGGAAUAAGCCACGGCUAACUACGUGCCAGCAGCCGCGGUAAUACGUAGGUGGCAAGCGUUAUCCGGAUUUAUUGGGUGUAAAGGGCGUGUAGGCGGGAAUGCAAGUCAGAUGUGAAAACUAUGGGCUCAACCCAUAGCCUGCAUUUGAAACUGUAUUUCUUGAGUGCUGGAGAGGCAAUCGGAAUUCCGUGUGUAGCGGUGAAAUGCGUAGAUAUACGGAGGAACACCAGUGGCGAAGGCGGAUUGCUGGACAGUAACUGACGCUGAGGCGCGAAAGCGUGGGGAGCAAACAGGAUUAGAUACC
rnacentral:rRNA from 1 species